UUCCGGUUGAUCCUGCCGGACCCCACUGCUAUCGGGAUGGGACUAAGACAUGCUAGUCGAGCGUCUCUAAGCUAUGGAAGAGGCGCGGCACACAGCUCAGUAACACGUGGCUAACCUGCCCUUGGGACAAGGACAACCCCGGGAAACUGGGGCUAAUCCCUGAUAAGUGAGAACUCCUGGAAUGGAUUCUCGCUCAAAGGACGUUUAGACCAUGCUUCUAGGCGUCGCCCAAGGAGGGGGCCGCGACCGAUCAGGUUGUUGGUGAGGUAACGGCUCACCAAGCCUUUAACCGGUACGGGCCGUGAGAGCGGGAGCCCGGAGAUGGGCACUGAGACAAGGGCCCAGGCCCUACGGGGCGCAGCAGUCGCGAAAACUCCGCAAUACACGAAAGUGUGACGGGGCCAUCCCGAGUGCCAUCCGCUGAGGAUGGCUUUUCCCCAGUGUACAAAGCUGGGGGAAUAAGGAGAGGGCAAGCCUGGUGUCAGCCGCCGCGGUAAUACCAGCUCUCCGAGUGGUGGGGAUGUUUAUUGGGCCUAAAGCAUUCGUAGCCUGCUUGGCAAGUCCUCCGUUAAAUCCAACGAUUCAAUCGUUGGGCUGCGGGGGAUACUGUCCGGCUAGGGGGCGGGAGAGGCCGACAGUAUCCCCGGGGUAGGGGUGAAAUCCUAUAAUCCCGGGAGGACCACCAGUGGCGAAAGCUGUCGGCUAGAACGCGCUCGACGGUGAGGGAUGAAAGCUGGGGGAGCGAACCGGAUUAGAUACCCGGGUAGUCCCAGCUGUAAACGAUGCAGCUAGGUGUUGGCGCGGCUACGUGCCGCUCCAGUGCCGCAGGGAAGCCGUUAAGCCUGCCGCCUGGGAAGUACGGCCGCAAGGCUGAAACUUAAAGGAAUUGGCGGGGGAGCACACAAGUGUGAGCUGCGUUAAUGGACUCACGCG
rnacentral:rRNA from 1 species